rnacentral:sRNA from 1 species
GCAUUCUGUAUUCUGAAUUCCUCCUGGGACAUUAGUGAUGUGUUUUUUUGUAACUUAGGAAAUGUACCUAAUUUAUUUUUUAACCAAAUAGCAUAUCUUCUUGAGAUGGCUAGCUGAGAAAGAGUAUGACACAUGUGUGAUCAAGGAUCAGCAAAAUUAACUACCUAUACAAAGAUUAAACUUGUUACCUUUACUUCCCUAAUGUGGUAUUUUAAUCAGCUGAGCUAACCUCCAAUGGAGUGGUGGUAUGGCCUUUCCUGUACUCAAUUCAGUAAUUGAACAGUUAUUUAUCGAACCCUUUCCGGAUGCCAGGCACCCUGCAGAAGGUAACAUUCUGAGAAGGAACAGCCAUGCCUGUAGCCCAAAAGUGAGUAGUUGUAUUAAUGGUCCGUUCCUUAUUAACAAAUUAAUUUCCUCAGGAGUUUAUUGGACCGGAUAUCAAAGUCCCACUGGAAUGUCUUAAGUGAGAGAGAGGAUAAAUCAAAAUUUUCCUCAUCCAGGCUUUUUGGCUGUCUUUUUCCUGAGCCUCCUCUUCCAAGCCUGUUUUGCUCUCAGUCAGGAUUUACCAGCACUCUGCACGUGUAGGCACGCUUGCCUGCUUCCUUCUGUAGUGGUAAUGACAACCUACAUUUGUAUUCUGCAGUGGAUAAAGCCUGUUCGUGGUACAAUACCUCAUUUGACCCUCCCAACAACUGUAGGGUAGAUGUUAUCUACAUGAAAUUGAGUCUCAGAGAGGGUAAGUAACUCACCCAGGUUACACAGUAAGUAACAGAGAUGACACACGAGUUCAGCUUUUCUUGAGCUAAGUUCUCUUCCUCCACCCAUGCCCAGCCACUCAUAUCCUAGGUGUAGAUCAGAAGGUUCUUAAAAAUAUUGUUAGACUGAGCUUUAAAAGCAGUUUGAAUCAGAGAUUUUCAUUGUCUGUUUUGUGUUCACAUGGUAGUCGAAAGUCUCUAGGUUCCAUUGCGUUAUACCCUUCUUAGAGGCUCCAGAAUAAAUUUUUUUAUAGUGGUGGGGAAAAGCCCUUAUAUUCUUAGAAUAAGAAUAUAGAUCAUUGGUAAUAGUAAUCAGUUCCAUUUCUUAUGAGAUAGUUGUCAGGAUUAAAUGACAUAAUGAAUUUAAAGUAUAUUGCCUGUCAUAGCAAGCACUCUGUUACUGUUAGCUAUUAUCAUUUAUGACUAUUGCUCUAUGUUGUAUUUUGUUUGUUUGAAGAAUGGGCUCUUAACCUUGUAUGAGAAAGAAAAGGGUGAGGAAGAAAAUGGAUUGAAGGAAUUGUAGGAGACUAAAUGUUAAAAGUCAUUAAACUACCUUCUGGUUUA